AUCCGUACGACGAGUCAAAAAUAGGACGAAACGCGCGUCUGGGAU
rnacentral:hammerhead_ribozyme from 1 species